rnacentral:tRNA from 1 species
AGGAUUAUAAUUUAAAUAAAAUAUUUAAUUUGCAAUUAAAAAAUAUUGAAAAAUCAAUUUAUCUUA